UGCAGCUGCGGGAGUGCCAGUGUCAUUGGCUCCAAUAAGUCAAGAUGCCAUGUCUCCGAAUGAUCAACCAAGAGAAGGAUUGGCACCAAGCCCUUCAACACAGGAAUCAACUUUGACUUAUCUUCCAAAUGAAGACGACGAAGAUGCAGCUUCCACCAUUAGCAGACACUCUAAGCUCAAUUUCAUGUUCGGCUUCGUCAUUGCCAUCAUCUUCACCUUAAAUUAUGAUUCCUAAACAUCAUUAAUUACUAUGUUCUUAAAACGUCAUUUUUGGGUUCAUACAGUCCCCAUUUACAUUCA